rnacentral:rRNA from 1 species
AACGAACGCUGGCGGCAGGCUUAACACAUGCAAGUCGAGCGCCUCGCAAGAGGAGCGGCAGACGGGUGAGUAACGCGUGGGAAGCUACCGUACCCUACGGAAUAGCUCUGGGAAACAGGAAGUAAUACCGUAUACGCCCUUUGGGGUGCAGAUUUAUAGGGGUAUGAUGGGCCCGCGUUGGAUUAGCUAGUUGGUGGGGUAAAGGCCUACCAAGGCGACGAGCCAGAGCUGGUCUGAGAGGAUGAUCAGCCACAUUGGGACUGAGACACGGCCCAAACUCCUACGGGAGGCAGCAGUGGGGAAUAUUGGACAAUGGGCGCAAGCCUGAUCCAGCCAUGCCGCGUGAGUGAUGAAGGUCUUGGGAUUGUAAAGCUCUUUCACCGAUGAAGAUAAUGACGGUAGUCGGAGAAGAAGCCCCGGCUAACUUCGUGCCAGCCGCCGCGGUAA